rnacentral:misc_RNA from 1 species
UUAAGUUCAGCGGGUAUCCCUACCUGAUCCGAGGUCAAAGACGGUAAUGUGGGCUUCGUGGACGCGGGCCGGGCCGCCUCGAGAAGCGCAAUGUGCUGCGCGAGAGGGGCCGUGGACCGCUGCCAAUGCCUUUGGGGCGAGUCCGCGCGCAGAGGCGGGACAGACGCCCAACACCAAGCAGAGCUUGAGGGUGUAGAUGACGCUCGAACAGGCAUGCCCCAUGGAAUACCAAGGGGCGCAAUGUGCGUUCAAAGAUUCGAUGAUUCACUGAAUUCUGCAAUUCACACUACUUAUCGCAUUUCGCUGCGUUCUUCAUCGAUGCCAGAGCCAAGAGAUCCAUUGUUGAAAGUUGUAACGAUUAAAUUUAUCAGAACAGGUAAUGCUAGAUGCAAAAAAGGUUCGUGAUGAGGUUCCAGCGGCGGGUUGCCCCGCCGAAGGAGAACGAAAGGUGCUCGUAAAGUAAGGGUGUGGUCAGUGGCCGGCCGAUCCCGCCGAGGCGCUCACGGCGCGGCCAUCGAUAAUGAUCCUU